rnacentral:tRNA from 1 species
UGGCGUGUGGUCUAAUUGGUAGGACGCUUCACUGUUAAUGAAGACGGUGCUGGUUCGAGGCCAGCCGCGCCAGCCA